AACCAACAGGGAUUGCCUCAGUAACGGCGAGUGAAGCGGCAAAAGCUCAAAUUUUAAAGCUGACAUCUUCGGUGUCCGCGUUGUAAUUUUGUGAGGCAUCUCCGGGUAGGGCGCUGGCCUAAGUUCCUUGGAACAGGACGUCACAGAGGGUGAGAAUCCCGUGCUUGGCUGGCUGUCCCCGUCCAUGUGAGGUGUCUUCGACGAGUCGAGUUGUUUGGGAAUGCAGCUCAAAAUGGGUGGUAAAUUUCAUCUAAAGCUAAAUAUUGGUGGGAGACCGAUAGCGCACAAGUAGAGUGAUCGAAAGAUGAAAAGCACUUUGAAAAUAGAGUUAAAAAGUACGUGAAAUUGUUGAAAGGGAAGCGCUUGAGACCAGACUUCGGUAAGGGGUGAUCAGCCGUCCUUUUGGGCGGUGCACUUGCCCCCCUCCGGGCCAGCAUCGGUUGAGGCGGCGGGAUAAAGGUCCCGGGAAUGUGGCUCCUUCACGGGAGUGUUAUAGCCCGGGUGAAUGCCGCCAGCUUCGACCGAGGACCGCACCCGCAAGGGUUAGGAUGCUUGGCAUAAUGGUCUUCAGCGA
rnacentral:rRNA from 2 species